rnacentral:rRNA from 1 species
UACGAAGGGGGCUAGCGUUGCUCGGAAUCACUGGGCGUAAAAGCGCACGUAGGCGGGAUUGCUAAGUCAGGGGGUGAAAUCCCUGGAGCUCAACUCCAGAACUGCCUUUGAUACUGGCGACCUUGAGUCCGGGAGAGGUGAGUGGAACUGCGAGUGUAGAGGUGAAAUGCGCAGAUAUCAGGAAGAACACCAAUGGCGAAAAGCAGCUUUCUGGGACGGUACUGACGCGUGAG